rnacentral:rRNA from 1 species
GAUGAACGCUGGCGGCGUGCCUAACACAUGCAAGUCGAGCGAAAAGACGAGGAGUUUGUUCCUCUCACGUUAGCGGCGCACGGGAGAAUAACACGAGGAUAACCUCCCUAUAAUAGUGAGAUAACCUGGGGACACCGGAGCUAAUCCCAGAGAAUAUCUUGAACCGUAUGGGUCAAUAGUGAAAGACGGUUUUGCUGUCACUUAUAGAUGCAUCUGCGCGGCAUUGGCUAGUAGGUAGGGUCACGGCUUACCAAGGCAACGAUGCGUAGCCGACGUGAGGGGCUGAUAGGCCACACUGGAACUGGGACGCGGUCCAGACUCCUACGGGACGCAGCAGUAGGGAAUGUGCCGCAAUGGGCGAGAGCCUGACGGAGCAAGGCCGCGUGAGUGAUGAAGGUCUUCGGAUCGUAAAGCCCGGUUAUUAGGGAAGAACAGAUGUGUCAGUAACUAUGCACGUCUUGACGGUACCUAAUCAGAAAGCCACGGCUAACUACGUG